CGAAACUUCACCUUCUGCAGGUGUCACCUGGCUUCAGGGACCCAGGGGCAGGACCGACUGCCUCACACUGGAACAGUCUCUGUAAAAUCCAAAGGUGGCUACGCUGCUCUCCUGUCCACAACCCUCCACCACCUGCCUCAUCACAGAGCAUCCUGGAAGCUCACUCCUGAGCACACGCUCACGCCUUCAGUCACUCCCUGUGCUGCGCCCCAUUCCUCCAGGAAAGUCCACAAUUGUGCGCAUGCACGUCUCCAGAGGGGUCCGGACUCUGUCCUGACCCCCUCCCGGCCCUGUCCCCACCAUCACCUGCUUACUGCUCCUCACUGCUGAGCACCUGCUCUGACCACAUGGCCUCCUCUGACUUGUUACAUCACAGUGCAGUCCAACCGACACAAAGCUGGACAGUGAAACGCACAAGAACAAGGAUAAAGUACUUUGUGAUGCCCCAGAAACAAACACAGAUGCCUUCUCUACUCGAGGCUCCCAACUAUCUGAGCAAACAAACGGUGACACAUCUUCAGAGCCUCUAGGUGGCUGGGCCCACAGUGGCUCCCCCAGAGCAGGGCCCCGGGCACAUGUGGGACUCUCCUGAGCAGCCUCCCUGACUGGGAUAAGCAGAGCCGUCUCUAACACCGCCAGGAUCAACUCUGGCUGCAAAGCUCUGAUGUAGGGGUACCCAGAGGGCUCUCCUAGGGAUGUGUGAUAGAUUGGCUGAUAGGACCAAAAUGACAAGAGAAGUUAGGAUCCCAAGUCUGAAGACACAUGGCGCCAAGCCUGGACUGGUCACGUGUCCCACCAGCCCAGCUCAUCACUGGCUGCUUCCACUGGAGACAGAGCUGUAAUGAUGCCACUGCAGAUCCUCAGGCGACACCAGCCAGCCCAGGCCCUGCUGGCUGGCUUUGCGUUGGAAGGGACCAACAAAAUGGUCAUAGAAAUGACCAGACCAGAAGAUCAAGAAGACUUAUGUAGCUUGUCCUAACACCUGAGAGGUAGGAGCA
rnacentral:lncRNA from 1 species